UCGUCUUCCUCGCGAAGUCGCCUACCUCGCAGGGUCGCAGCCAAUUUGCAGACUCGCAAAAUUUCUUCCGGUUCAGAAGUGUCCAGAUCUGGCUCGCCUUGCUCCGCCUCGCUCCUCCUGGCCACGCCUUGCAACGCCUCCUUACUCCUUCUUCGCGCUAAACGUGCAACUCGCGAAACAGCCGACCGCCUCGGGCGAUUUCCUGCCGCCUCGCUCCGACGCGCGCGAAGAAUUCAGACAUGGGUAAAGAGGAAAGCCCAAAAACCACAAGGAGAACAACCAGAUCCUCCGCUGCAGCUACCCCUUCAAAGAAUGUAGUUGAAGAAACUAAUGCAAGUAGUUCUCAGCCGCCAACUCUCAGUGACCUUGUGCUUGGAGAAGAAAGAGAAUCCUUUAGCUUGGAUGAUCUGUUGUCUAGUUUUCCUGGUAGACGUAAUCAGAUCCACGAGCUUCUACAACUUUUGGGUCCACGGAACUCUCCCAUGCUUCCUAUCUUUGUAUAUGGAGGCACUUCUACCGGGAAAACUAGUAUGGUACUGGAGACAUUUAGGCAUCUUAAACGUCCUUUUGUUUAUUCAAGCUGCCUUAGCUGUUAUAAUCCCCGAAUCUUGUUCGAGUCUGUUUUGAAUCAACUGUUUCUUCACCGAAAGAAUGCAGUAAAUGGUUAUUCAAGUGCAAAGCGCUGUGAAAGCCCAUCUGAUUUUGUUAAUUUUCUUCGCGAAGCCUUGGUUAGCGUUCUUGCUAAUCUUGAGGGAAACUCGGGGAAAUUAAGCUCCAAAAGGUCCGGAAAGGCUAAUGGAAAUAUGAUCUACUUGAUAUUUGACAAUUUGGAGCGUGUCAGAGGAUGGGAAAAAGGUUCUACCAUAUUGCCUUUACUAUUUAAUCUCUAUGACAUUCUGAAAAUGCCUGAGGUCGCUCUUAUCUUUAUUAGCAGUGCCUCACCGGAUACAUAUUACUCAAGUAUGAGUUAUGUGGAGCCUAUCCCUAUAUAUCUUCCUGAUUAUACUCAAGAUGAUCUUCAGCAAAUCUUCUUGAGAAACCAAGCAAACAAAAAGCUUUAUGCAUCUUUUCUCAGUGUCGUGCUAAGGCCUUUCUGUAGAAUUACCAGACGGGUGGAUGAAUUGUCUCCUGCCUUUUCACUAUUAUUCACAAAAUAUUGUGAGCCUGUAACCAAUCUGGGUGUUGUUCCCAAUAAAGAGUUGAACCAAAGGCUGUUUCAUUAUUUUCGGCCCCAUGUUGCUCCUUCACUGAAUGAGAUAUUUAAGGUUUCAUCUCAUCCAUCCACUGAAGUUGAAGUUAGGGAGACAAAAGGAAAGGGCAGCACAAGGAAAUUUGGAGAUUGCGAGGAUGAUCAACUAGAUUUCCAUAUGCCUACUUCUGCCAAGUAUCUCCUUAUUUCAGCAUUCCUUGCUUCAAGAAACCCGGCUACCCUUGAUGCAUCAUUGUUCGAUUCCACAGGAGGUUCUAAUAGUCGCAAACGAAGGAGGAAGGCCUCCGAGAAGUCAAUGGAACAGAAGGAAACUGCAGAACAGGAAUUACUUCUGAAUCCUGGAACAUUUCCAAUGGAGAGGUUAUUAGCCAUAUUUCAGUGUAUUACAUCUGUAGGGGAAGGUUCUCUUGAUGAGGAGGAAGAAGGAUAUGAUGGGUUAGGCAUUCGAAAUGGGAAUGGUGGGCUCAUGUCUGAUGUUCUCUUACAACUGUCCAGUCUCUGCAGUGCUAAUUUUAUUGUCACUGGUGGAAGCUGCCCACUAGAGGGCUCAACUCGAUAUCGAUCUACAGUGAGUGAAGAUAUGGUUCUGAAGGUAGCAAGGAGCAUUAAGUUUCCUCUCUCAAAGUAUAUAUACAGAUAGUUUGCUUUUUUGGUGAGGUAUUUGUGAUAUGGUUGCCAAUUCGUUCUCAAGGAUGAAGAAAAUUCUCAAGCAGGGUCAGAUUGCCUCUGGUUUUCAACUAACAUAGCCUCUACCAUGUUAAACCAUUACUCCAAAUUCUCUGAUCCUCAUAUUUGUUGAGCAACUUCAAAUGACUGGUAUUGAGUGGAUACAACUGAUUGUUGCGGUUUUGUGAUAGAUGGGGAUUGCACCAUUAAAGGAGCUGGAUAAGAAAAAUGUCUUCAGUACUCUAGCAAUUUGAACAGUUUCUGGAAGUUUCUGACAGUAUCUUGGUAUCAAGUUUCUGCAGGCCUGCUAUCUAACAAUUGUAGUUAACCAGAGACCUUAACCAAACCUUGUCAAUAGUCUAGUAAGUCCCAGGGCACAGAACUUGUUCGAUGUUCAAAUCUAGUGUAAACACUUAAAAUGCCAUUGGUAACUAUUCUUUUUUUAGAUACUCUCAAGUAAAUGCCGUUUGUUAUGCAGUGUACGCGUCUAUCGCAAUUCGGGAAUCGUUUAUUGAGUUUUGCUUCCUUUUUGCUAAGUUACGCCCGAAUUGAUUCUCUCUUUAGGUUUGGUUAGAUGUAUUGUAAGUGCUAUUUGCAGAGAAGGGCAGGAACGAACUGGGGUAAACCUCACUCUGUUUUAUCACAUGGCUGCAUUACAUAAAAUAGUUGUUGGGGGCAAUUUCUCACAGCUGCAAGAGAUGCCCGUCACAGAACAGUGUAUGGUUGCUGUAUGCAAGCAAUGUGGUGGGAGGACUUGCCAAUGUCUCAGCUGGCCUGAAAUCCCAUCUUAAAUGCAAUUUAGAGCAAUGACUCGUUUGAUGCCAUAUGACCUCUUUUUGUGUGGAUAAAUGCUAUAUGUGGUUGAAAUGGUAGAAAUGUGAGACUCAGAACGUUGACUUUAGUUUUAAUGGGGUCCCCAGAGGGCUAUACUUAAUGGUCCAGCAUGGGAGUUGGAUCAUCCACAUGUAUAUUUCUUGGUCAUCAAUGGACAGUUGGAGACCUAAUUUUAUUUGGGUUUUGAACAUUUUGCUUCAUAAUGCAAUAUGUGGAAUUGAUAGGAGCCGCCUGAUCUGCAUCUGUAAACUACCAACUAUGAGAGGUUUGGCAAGUCCCAGGAUUUGAUAUCACAAAGAAUAGAGAUCUUGAUUUGAUGCUGAGGUGCUUGAAAAACAUUGUCGUUUAAUUUCGUAGCUACCCAACCUAUAUCAUGUUGGACUUAAUUUGUUUCCUUUUUUGGUUGAACUACUUAAUUUUAACCUAGUAGGUGCCAAAAUCUCCAUCUAAACAAAUGGGGAACUAUAGGCUUUCUUGUGGAAUGUCUCAAUCCAAGCCAUUCACUCCAAAAUUUCUGUUAUUGUAAACCGUUUGUAUUUUAUAUAUAAAAUUGGGGAUGUCAUUAGUUCAACAAA